GACGAACGCUGGCGGCGUGCUUAACACAUGCAAGUCGAACGAAGAGCGACGGAAGCUUGCUUCUAUCAAUCUUAGUGGCGAACGGGUGAGUAACGCGUAAUCAACCUGCCCUUCAGAGGGGGACAACAGUUGGAAACGACUGCUAAUACCGCAUACGAUCUAAUCUCGGCAUCGAGGAUGGAUGAAAGGUGGCCUCUACAUGUAAGCUAUCACUGAAGGAGGGGAUUGCGUCUGAUUAGCUAGUUGGAGGGGUAACGGCCCACCAAGGCGAUGAUCAGUAGCCGGUCUGAGAGGAUGAACGGCCACAUUGGGACUGAGACACGGCCCAGACUCCUACGGGAGGCAGCAGUGGGGAAUCUUCCGCAAUGGACGAAAGUCUGACGGAGCAACGCCGCGUGAGUGAUGACGGCCUUCGGGUU
rnacentral:rRNA from 1 species